UACGGAGGGUGCGAGCGUUGUUCGGAAUCACUGGGCGUAAAGGGCGUGUAGGCGGUCCGCUAAGUCUGAUGUGAAAGCCCGGGGCUCACCCCCGGAAGUGCAUUGGAAACUGGCGGACUCGAGUCCCGGAGAGGAGAGUGGAAUUCCUGGUGUAGCGGUGAAAUGCGCAGAUAUCAGGAGGAACACCGGUGGCGAAGGCGGGUCUCUGGGCCGUAACUGACGCUGAGGAGCGAAAGCGUGGGGAGCGAACAGG
rnacentral:rRNA from 1 species